rnacentral:rRNA from 1 species
UACGUAGGGUCCGAGCGUUGUCCGGAAUUACUGGGCGUAAAGAGCUUGUAGGUGGUUUGUCGCGUUGUUCGUGAAAACUCACAGCUUAACUGUGGGCGUGCGGGCGAUACGGGCAGACUGGAGUACUGCAGGGGAGACUGGAAUUCCUGGUGUAGCGGUGGAAUGCGCAGAUAUCAGGAGGAACACCGAUGGCGAAGGCAGUUCUCUGGGCCGUAACUGACGCUGAGGAGCGAAAGCGUGGGGAGCGAACAGG